UCCUAUAAUAUAUAUCGCAGCAAACGACGUCAAAUCCGUCGUGGUAACGUUGUCAUGGUAACAAUGUGUUACGAAACGUUGGUACAGACUGUUAUAUAGUGAUUACGGUUAUUGUAACCAAUUUUAAAUUCAGGGAACUAAAGACUUCGACGUAUGCAUCGACGUAAGACUUAAACCAUAAGUUAUAAUGUUAAGCGCCAUCACAUACGAUCGUGUAGCUAUAAGCUUCGACCAAUCACUGUUAUUAUCGGAGAAAUUACGCGAAAACAUAGUUCUUAAGUGUUAAGUGCUGUUACAUCUUCGUUUUUCCAUUAUAUUUAUAUUAUAUUAAAACACAAUGCUCUUGAUAAUUUUAAUCGAAAUGUAGUAAGAUACAUAACCUCAAAAUCUGUACUGAGUGUGACGUGCAUUCAUAAAAUUUCAAAUAUCAAGUUUAAAUGCGGGAAGACAUAUAAUUGAUUUUUAAGACGUAAACCGUAUAAAUUUCAAGCCUUAUGAAAAUUUUCAGAGCGAAAAAUGUAAAAGGGAAUAGUCGAUUCUGAUUGGUAAAUUUCUUUAGCAUUCAUAAAAUAUUGAAUUAAUAAAUUUGUACUUAUUCAAAGAUAAUAUAAUGAAAAAUUUAUUUACUCUGCUACAAUUGAUAAUUUUAUUCUAAAAAUUUUAAAAAUAUUUCGCAAAGUGUUUUUGUUACAAUUCUAUAAAUUUAUAUUUUUGAAGAAUUUCAAUAUUAAAAAAAAACGAAAUUAUGGUUAAAGCAUUGAAGCUGAAGUGUCAAUUUAUUUGGCGGUAAUGAUGGAAUAUCUAGAUGCUGAAGUUUUAUACGUACCUCCUAUAUGCCGUAUCUAAAUGAGUAAAAAGUGGAAAACAGUUUCAAGAAAAACCGCAGCUUGAAAGACAAAUAAUAAAAUUACUACUUACGUAAACGAAUGCAGUAAAUCGCAGUGUAUACACGAGUAGUUGAACAAUUACAGAUGGAAUAGUCAUGCGAGUACUAUUUAAUUUAUCAAAAUGUUUGGUGCGUGGAACAAAACAAAAGAAGAAGCAUACAAAUAAUGCGUCUACAAAGCGAUAUUAUUAAAAGCGAUAAUAUACGGAACAGCUAUUAAUUGCAUUUGGAGAAAAGAAAUGGAAUUUUAUCCUAUAUGUAAUGGUAUGAAUAUUAUACUUGUUAAACAAAUGAAUUUUUAUGAUUAUCAAUAUGGUUAUUGUUUAUUAGUGAUGCAGAAAAAUCACAAAAUAAUGAAUUAAUGAAUAAAUAAAAUAAGUUAUGAGAAUAAUGGAUUAAUGUAUUGACAAAAUAAUGAAUUAACUGAUGCACAGGAUAUUGAAUUAAUGGAUGUACAGAAUAAUGAAUUAACAGAUUCACAAAAUAAUAUAUUAAUAUAUUCAUAGAAUAGUGGAUUAAUAGAUUCACAGAAUAAGGUAUUAACAUAUUCUCAAAAUAGAUAUCAAUGUAUUCACAGAAUAAUAUAUUAAUGUACUCAUAGAAUCAAGGAUAAAUGGUUUCACAGAUUAAUGUAUAAACGUGUCAAUAACCGUGUGGGUUAUUGGUUGGAUUUUUUAUUCAAAUCAUUGUGAUUAUUUCAUGUAAAAUAAAAUAUGAUUAUGAAGUGCUUCUGAAUAUCAGUUGAUACAUAAUUAUCAUAUAUAAUGCAAUUUUCAUAUCGUGAAUCAAUGGUGGAUCAUGCAGCGUUGUGACUCAUAAGGGAGAGUACAGGAUAAUCUAGUUCAUUCUGUGGCAUGGACUAUUUUGUCCUGUGUCAAAAAUUGGUACUAGGACCACUUGUGUACGCUUAUCCUAUUAGUUUCUUCGUAAAUAUUUUCUUGUUCACACUGUGUGCAGUUAUUUUUCAAGUGAACUUUUUCUUUUUCUUCUACUUUGUUUUUUAUUUCGUUGUCUCAAAAUAUUUAUAAAAAAAAAUUGUCAUAUAAAGAGUAAAAAGUAAUUUUUUUUUUAUCGUAUGACGAGUAUAUUCAUUAAACACAAUUAACUGCUUAAAGUAUCAUUAAUAAUAUCAAUGAAUUUGAGCAAUAAAGUUAUUGAUCUUUUAAAAAGCUAGUUGACAUAUCUUUAUAAUUUAAUUCAAUUUAAUAUAUAGCUGCAUAUAUUCUGUUUGACAUGAGUAUAUUCAUUAUCUCUUAAUUCUUACUACAUAACAUAGGUAUAUAUUU